rnacentral:rRNA from 1 species
GACGAACGCUGGCGGCGUGCCUAAUACAUGCAAGUCGAACGCAGUGGGGACGGGUGAGUAACACGUGGGUAACCUCCCAUCAGAGGGGAUAACACUUGGAAACAGGUGCUAAACCGAUACUGAUGGAUGGACCCGCGGUGCAUUAGCUAGUUGGUGAGGUAACGGCUCACAAAGGCCACGAUGCAUAGACGGCCUGGGGUGGAGAUCGGUCACACUGAGCCGGAGACACGGCCCAGACUCCUGCGGGAGGCAGCAGUAGGGAAUCUUCGGCAAUGGACGAAAGUCUGACCGAGCAACGCCGCGUGAGUGAAGAAGGUUUGCGGAUCGUAAAACACUGUUGUUAGAGAAGCGGUAUCUACCCAGAAAGCCACGGCUAACUACGUGCCAGCAGCCGCGGUAAAC